AUUGAACGCUGGCGGAAUGCUUUACACAUGCAAGUCGAACGGCAGCACGGACUUCGGUCUGGUGGCGAGUGGCGAACGGGUGAGUAAUGUAUCGGAACGUGCCCAGUCGUGGGGGAUAACGUAGUGAAAAUUAUGCUAAUACCGCAUACGAUCUAUGGAUGAAAGCGGGGGAUCGCAAGACCUCGCGCGAUUGGAGCGGACGAUAUCAGAUUAGGUAGUUGGUGGGGUAAAGGCCCACCAAGCCAACGAUCUGUAGCUGGUCUGAGAGGACGACCAGCCACACUGGAACUGAGACACGGUCCAGACUCCUACGGGAGGAAGCAGUGGGGAAUGUUGGACAAUGGGCGAAAGCCUAAUCCAGCCAUUCCGCGUGCGUGAUGAAGGCCCUCGGGUUGUAAACUGCUUUUGUACAGAACGAAAAGGUUUCUACUAAUACUAGGAGCUCAUGACGGUACUGUAAGAAUAAGCACCGGCUAACUACGUGCCAGCCGCCGCCGUAA
rnacentral:rRNA from 1 species